AUUUUUAGAACAAGGUGUUUUUUAAAUGUAGCAGUUGUUCGUAUUUGUGAACGCCCAUUGCCUUGUUUGGAUUAGAAGUAGGCUAUACAAAUCAGAAAGUGAAAACAUUUACAGUACGCAGCCUAGUUACUCAGGAAGAAGGUCGUUAUAAAAGAAUGAUUGUAGCUGGAAUGAGUUCUGAGCAUGUGACCGAAUACUGAGGCCCACUAAUAACACAAUCCAGAAGGGGAGAUCAGAUUUAACAAGACCUGGUCUUUAGGAGACAUCAUUCAAUGGAUCAACUCAAGGUUAAAAAGCCCAGCUCUGAGCAGCAAGGGAGAUCAGCAUCUCCAUGUCCUAGCCAUGCGUCCAUGAGGAGUGAUCAGUCCAUGGGUCAUCCAGAGGAUUUAAAAGAAUCGAGGUACAUUAAUAAUUAUUAGGUUUUCCUCACUAUCACUUUUCAGUUUUUAGUUUUAUGCAAUGUCAUUUAAAACAAUACAUUUAAAAAAAAGAGGUAAUGUUAACUAUUUUAACAACUGUGAAUUUAUGUCUUACACUUCAUAGUUGUUACUAUGAAAUCCACUAAACUCACAUUGUAAUGUUUCUGUUUCACUGCAGCUCAGAGCAUUAUUCAAUUAUAUUUAAAUUAUUAAAUGGUCUGCUAUGUGAGUAAUAAAUGAGUUUAAAAUGUAUAACGAGAUUUAUUUUGAUUUUCCAGUGCUGUCUCACCCCUUAAUAAAAUUCAAGAAGCAGUCCAA
rnacentral:lncRNA from 1 species